CGUAGUACAGUUUAGCGAGAGCGCGUAUGUUUUGGAUUAGGCCAACCGGCUAACUCAAACAUAUACAGGUUAGGUUGAACCAGCUUCGUAGUAUAGGCCCCAGGCUUAGAUGGGCUACAUAUCAAAGGAUAUUCUGUGGGAUUCCGCAGUCAAACCAUUCCAUCAAACACUUUUUGGUGUUUUUGGAAGGUGCCUGCGGAAUAUAUUGCUGUGACAGGUCAUCCGUCAGACAGAGAUGAGUUCCCUGCAGGAAGGAGACCUCACUCUGCGGGGGACCAGAGCCCCCAGCCGGCUGCAGGAUGCACGCGACACCGAGGAGUCAGCACAGGGAGCCGAGAAACCCUUCCAGCAGGUGAUGGAUGUCAGCACAGGAGAUCCCCACAGGGCAGGGAUGAAGCCUGUCUCGUUUGUUCGGCAGGUCUUGGCAGCGUGUCUCUACCCCAAGCUCCUGGAUGAAAAAAGCCUUCCCCUGGAUGCCAGGCAGAGGGCAAAUACGCUUCUGGGGGUCUGCAGUGGAAGGAGCGUGGGCUCAUACUGUGCAACAGCCUAUGGCAUACCAUAUGUCUGUAAAAGUGUUACAGAGUUCAUCAUGAGGCGAGACGGUGGAGUGAGCUCAAACCCAGAAGACAUCGUCAUCUCCUCUGGUUCUACGAAGACAUUGUUGAUGGUUCUGCACCUGAUGGCCAGUGGGGAAGGGGAGACUUGCACAGGUGUGUUGACCCCGAUGCCCUGCCCACACACCCUGCCCACACUGCUGAACAUGGCUGGAUUGACUUUGGUGCCUUACCAGCUGUUGGAGGACCAAGGCUGGGCUGUAGAACUGGACGAGCUGCACCGAGCUCUGAGAACCACUAGGGGACACUGUUCUCCCAGAGCAAUUUACAUCAGCAAUCCAGGAAACCCCACAGGUCAUGUGCAAGACAGGAAAUCAAUAGAGGAAGUUAUUCGUUUUGCUGCAACCGAGGGCCUCGUCCUGUUGGCUGAUGAGGUGUACCAGGACAGUGUGUAUGGACAAGGGAAAGAGUCUCUUUCCUAUAAGAGAGUCCUGUUUGAGAUGGGCAAAGAGUACUCAAAGAAAGUGGAGUUGGUCUCCUUCCACUCAUUAUCCAGCGCUUUCAUGGGGGAGUGUGGUCUAAGGGGAGCGUAUAUGGAGGCAGUUAAUCUGGACCCAGCCGUGAUGAAAUAUUUAAGAGAUGCGCAGGCCCCUUCCAGCCCUCCAGUUUUACCACAGCUCGCUCUGGAGGUCAUGGUCAAUCCACCCACCCCCGAAGAUCCUUCCUAUAAAACAUAUUCACAGGAGAUUCUUCACUCUAUGACAACCUUGUCCCAGAAUGCUCAGCGUGCUUGUGAGUUCCUGAAUGAUCUAUCAGGGAUCAAAUGCCAACCAGCGAAGGGGGGAGUUUUUCUUUUUCCCCGUCUGCAUUUACCACCUCAGAUGGUAGAGGAGGCCAAGAUGUUAGGAGUGGAGGCAGAUGUGCUUUACUGCCAGAGGUUACUGGAGGAGGAAGGUGUGCGUUUGGGAGCCGGCUGUGAGAACGGACAAGUAGAUCCAAACUUCCACAUCAGAGCCCAUCUGCUUUGAUUGGUUAGCUGGCCGUCUAUAUUUGAUUGGUCUACCGCCGCCCCUUAACCUCUCACGUACAAUGUGUUGGAGCGUUAGCCAAUAGAAGAGUUGUGUGUUUUGGCUCCUUCCGACACCCUGGAUGAGAUCUUGGCACGACUUCACUCUUUCCACCUGCGCCUGCUGGAGAGGUUUCCCUGAGUCAAGGGAAAAUACAGAAUCCUGGUCAACACUACAUACUUUUUUAUUACUGCUAAUUGUUUGAUUGACACUGUCAAAUACAAUUCUAACUUUUUUUUGGAUG